AGCCCGCUCGCCGGAAGACCAAGGGUUCCUGUCCAACGUUAAUCGGGGCAGGGUGAGUCGACCCCUAAGGCGAGGCCGAAAGGCGUAGUCGAUGGGAAACAGGUUAAUAUUCCUGUACUUGGUGUUACUGCGAAGGGGGGACGGAGAAGGCUAUGUUGGCCGGGCGACGGUUGUCCCGGUUUAAGCGUGUAGGCUGGUUUUCCAGGCAAAUCCGGAAAAUCAAGGCUGAGGCGUGAUGACGAGGCACUACGGUGCUGAAGCAACAAAUGCCCUGCUUCCAGGAAAAGCCUCUAAGCAUCAGGUAACAUCAAAUCGUACCCCAAACCGACACAGGUGGUCAGGUAGAGAAUACCAAGGCGCUUGAGAGAACUCGGGUGAAGGAACUAGGCAAAAUGGUGCCGUAACUUCGGGAGAAGGCACGCUGAUAUGUAGGUGAAGUCCCUCGCGGAUGGAGCUGAAAUCAGUCGAAGAUACCAGCUGGCUGCAACUGUUUAUUAAAAACACAGCACUGUGCAAACACGAAAGUGGACGUAUACGGUGUGACGCCUGCCCGGUGCCGGAAGGUUAAUUGAUGGGGUCAGCGCAAGCGAAGCUCUUGAUCGAAGCCCCGGUAAACGGCGGCCGUAACUAUAACGGUCCUAAGGUAGCGAAAUUCCUUGUCGGGUAAGUUCCGACCUGCACGAAUGGCGUAAUGAUGGCCAGGCUGUCUCCACCCGAGACUCAGUGAAAUUGAACUCGCUGUGAAGAUGCAGUGUACCCGCGGCAAGACGGAAAGACCCCGUGAACCUUUACUAUAGCUUGACACUGAACAUUGAGCCUUGAUGUGUAGGAUAGGUGGGAGGCUUUGAAGUGUGGACGCCAGUCUGCAUGGAGCCGACCUUGAAAUACCACCCUUUAAUGUUUGAUGUUCUAACGUUGACCCGUAAUCCGGGUUGCGGACAGUGUCUGGUGGGUAGUUUGACUGGGGCGGUCUCCUCCUAAAGAGUAACGGAGGAGCACGAAGGUUGGCUAAUCCUGGUCGGACAUCAGGAGGUUAGUGCAAUGGCAUAAGCCAGCUUGACUGCGAGCGUGACGGCGCGAGCAGGUGCGAAAGCAGGUCAUAGUGAUCCGGUGGUUCUGAAUGGAAGGGCCAUCGCUCAACGGAUAAAAGGUACUCCGGGGAUAACAGGCUGAUACCGCCCAAGAGUUCAUAUCGACGGCGGUGUUUGGCACCUCGAUGUCGGCUCAUCACAUCCUGGGGCUGAAGUAGGUCCCAAGGGUAUGGCUGUUCGCCAUUUAAAGUGGUACGCGAGCUGGGUUUAGAACGUCGUGAGACAGUUCGGUCCCUAUCUGCCGUGGGCGCUGGAGAACUGAGGGGGGCUGCUCCUAGUACGAGAGGACCGGAGUGGACGCAUCACUGGUGUUCGGGUUGUCAUGCCAAUGGCACUGCCCGGUAGCUAAAUGCGGAAGAGAUAAGUGCUGAAAGCAUCUAAGCACGAAACUUGCCCCGAGAUGAGUUCUCCCUGACUCCUUGAGAGUCCUGAAGGAACGUUGAAGACGACGACGUUGAUAGGCCGGGUGUGUAAGCGCAGCGAUGCGUUGAGCUAACCGGUACUAAUGAACCGUGAGGCUUAACC
rnacentral:rRNA from 1 species